ACGGUAAAGUAAAAACCCUACCCAAGAAACUGCUGUCUCUUCCAUUUCUCAAUUCCUGAAUAAUCUGAAACAUUAUUUUCAAGAAAUGGGUAUGGAGAAAGAUAAAGAGAAAGAUAAAGAAAAAGAGAAAGAUGAAGAACAAGAAGGCAUGUCCGUUCACUCUCCUUGCAAAGCUCCUCCUUCCUCUGCUUCUUCUCUCCCCAAGGAGCAAUCACAGGUUGAAUUGGAGCUUAGACUGUUGGAAGCUCUUGAAAUUUACCCUCCAGUCAAGCUUCGAGGCAGGUAUGCAUCGCCACUUUGUCCUUUAUGGUCUAAUGGAAUUCCUGCGAAGGAGGUAGUUGUCUUCAUGUUUGACCGCCACUUUUCCCCUGAUGAGGUUUUGCAGUUGAUGGAUCGAUUCUACAACUUAGAAAUGCUGAAACCAGAUGAUGAAGAGAUGGAAAUACUGAAUCAUGAGGAAGAUUUUAACUUGCCGCAAAGUUAUUUUGACAAGGAAGAAUAGUGACAGACAAUUUUUGGUGUACAUAUAUAUGCUGUUAGUGCAACCUAUCUUAGCUGUUGGGUUCUUAUCUUGCUCAUGGUUUUUGGCAUUCCCCCUUAUUGAUAAAAUAAAAUUAUUGAUGCAAGUAGAUAACAUCGAUGCGGGUUUGAAAACUUUUUAUUUUUAGUCUCUCUUGGUGGUUUCAAGAAUUCAGAUUACGACAUAUAGCAGCUUAUAUCAAGGGAUUCAAGUCUAGACAUUAUCAAGAUAAUGAUUCAUCUAUUCAACACUUGAGGAGUGUGAAUACUCCCUAAUUUUUCACUCAUCUUGAAAUGUAUAAAGAAGGUAAAAGAAAAGAGAGAAGGAAUACACUUUUUUUUUCUUUUGGUCUCUACUCUCUAGUAUAUGUCUUAAGAGAAUGACAGGGUAAGAGAGUGAAAAAGAUUUUUAACAUUUCUGUCAACACUUUGAAAUUCCCUGGUUGAAUAAUCCUUUGGGUAAUUCUGGUUGUGCAAGACUGCAAGUAUCUUCUAUGAUGUGUUUGAACUCUACAAAUAAAUCCAUUGAA